rnacentral:rRNA from 1 species
UACGUAGGUGGCAAGCGUUGUCCGGAAUUAUUGGGCGUAAAGCGCGCGCAGGCGGUCCUUUAAGUCUGAUGUGAAAGCCCACGGCUCAACCGUGGAGGGUCAUUGGAAACUGGAGGACUUGAGUACAGAAGAGGAAAGCGGAAUUCCACGCGUAGCGGUGAAAUGCGUAGAUAUUGGGAAGAACACCUGAGGCGAAGGCGGGUUGCUGGGCUGAUACUGACGCUGAGGCGCGAAAGCCAGGGGAGCAAACGGG